GACAGAGGGGGGCAAGCGUUGCUCGGAAUCACUGGGCGUAAAGGGCGCGUAGGCGGGAUGGCAAGUCGGUCGUGAAAUCCUUCGGCUCAACCGAAGAACGUCGGCCGAUACUGCCGUUCUUGAGGGAUGCAGAGGAGAUUGGAAUUCCCGGUGUAGCGGUGAAAUGUGUAGAGAUCGGGAGGAACACCGGUGGCGAAGGCGGGUCUCUGGGCCGGACACGUGACGCUGAGGCACGAAGGUCAGGGGAGCAAACGGGG
rnacentral:rRNA from 1 species